rnacentral:sRNA from 1 species
UCUUAUCACGGGUAUGGUCUCGAUCAAA